CUCCGGCACUGAACUGCCCAUUCCUGCCGGCUGGGCGCAUUUUUGUCCUUGAUUGCAAAUAAUGGCGUUUCUGGUGCUUUUCCUUUCCCUGCUGGCUGCCCCGGGAUGUGUCCUGUCCCAAGUGCAGCUGGUCCAGUCUGGCCCAGGCGUGGUGAAGCCCGGAGAGACCCUCGCAUUGACCUGCUCUAUCACCGGUGACUCGGUCACUAGUAAUUACUGGGAAUGGGUCCGACAGGCUCCCGGGAAAGGGCUGGAGUGGGUGGGACAGAUCGACUGGGCCAGCUCCAACUGGCGCAUAUACUACGGCCCGUCUUUCCAGAGCCGCGCAACCCUCAGUGCAGAUUCCUCCAAGAACCAGUUCUCCCUGCAGCUCCGCUCGCUGACAGCUGCAGACACCAGCACCUAUUACUGCGUUGCUCUGACCCAGUCAGGUCCAGAACUGAAGAAGCCCGGAGAAUCCAAUCAGCUGAAAUGCACCGUGAGCGGGUUCACUAUCUCCGGCGAUUAUAUGGACUGGGUCAGACAGGAGCCAGGAAAGGGGCUGGAGUGGCUGGUCCGCUACUGGAAACCAGGGCAGAGCGAGUAUUAUUCUCCCACCAUCCAGGGGUGA